UACAGAGGGUGCGAGCGUUAAUCGGAAUUACUGGGCGUAAAGGGCGCGUAGGCGGUUUAUCAAGUGAGAUGUGAAAUCCCCGGGCUUAACCUGGGAACUGCAUCUUAAACUGGUAAGCUGGAGUACUGUAGAGGACAGUGGAAUUUCCGGUGUAGCGGUGAAAUGCGUAGAUAUCGUAAGGAAGACCAGUGGCGAAGGCGGGUCUCUGGACAGUUCCUGACGCUGAGGCACGAAGGUCAGGGGAGCAAACGGG
rnacentral:rRNA from 1 species